GCCUGAUUCAAAUUGUUUAAUAUAGCCAAUUAGAUCUUCAAAUUUACUCGGUUGAAUUUUGUUUUUUAACAUAUUUGGUGGCAGCGGUGGGAUCAAAGGAGACUUCUGUUGACUUCGAGGACAAAGAGAAACACAGGUGUGGUGCCCUGUGAACACUUCUGAGUUUGCUGUCUUUUUUCACCAUUUCCAGGGGCGUUUUGGUUUCCUGGAUGGGCUGAAGACUUCCCUUGCUGCAAGGCUGAUGUCCUUACAGUGGCAAAGAAACUGUUAGAAAAUGUGUUUCCCACUUGGGGUCUACCUUCCAUAAUCUCUAAAAUGAUUGAGGCACCCACUUCCCUGGGGAAAUCAUACCUUAAUGAAAACCUUGGAAUGAAUUCCUUCUUAGAAUUAUCACUAUCCCUAUCACCCUAUCACCCAAUCAUUAGGCAAGGUCAAGAGAACUUGACCUCUUGAUGUGAUCCUCAAAAUUAAAAUUCCUAAACUUGCCAAAACUACUGGACUCCCUCGGCUUAAAGUAUUUCCUUUGGUCUUGCUGACUGUUCACAGUACCCACUUUGGGAGACAUAAACUCACUCCACACAAUAUAGUCUGGUAGGCCAAGUCUAUUGGUAUACAACCUGCUGCUGACCCCUUGUUGCCUCAUGCUAGUAUGACCAGUUACUGUAAGUCUCUAUGUCUUAUGUUCAAGCCUGUUAUCAACAGGGUAAAGAAGCUUUCCUGGAUCCCAAUUCAGAGGAUCCUCUUGAUCACAGUCUAGAGCCUGGUGACUAGGUAUUCUGGAAAUGUCAUCAGAGGAAGACAGCCCUUGAGCCUUGUUGGAAGAGCCUUUACCAAGUGCUCCUGACCACUGACACUGCUGCAAAACUAGAAGGCAUUGAGCCUUGGAUACACAUCUCACAGCUAAAGAAUGCUCCACCUGACAUCUGGUCCUGCACAGACGCUGGAAAUCUCUCAAUCAAAUUGACGAGGAAGAGAAAUAGCUGACAUCAAGUACUAUUCACAAUAGCCAAGACAUGGAAACCAUCCAAG